rnacentral:rRNA from 1 species
GAUGAACGCUGGCGGCGUGCCUAAUACAUGCAAGUCGAGCGAACGGACGAGAAGCUUGCUUCUCUGAUGUUAGCGGCGGACGGGUGAGUAACACGUGGAUAACCUACCUAUAAGACUGGGAUAACUUCGGGAAACCGGAGCUAAUACCGGAUAAUAUUUUGAACCGCAUGGUUCAAAAGUGAAAGACGGUCUUGCUGUCACUUAUAGAUGGAUCCGCGCUGCAUUAGCUAGUUGGUAAGGUAACGGCUUACCAAGGCAACGAUGCAUAGCCGACCUGAGAGGGUGAUCGGCCACACUGGAACUGAGACACGGUCCAGACUCCUACGGGAGGCAGCAGUAGGGAAUCUUCCGCAAUGGGCGAAAGCCUGACGGAGCAACGCCGCGUGAGUGAUGAAGGUCUUCGGGUCGUAAAACUCUGUUAUUAGGGAAGAACAUAUGUGUAAGUAACUGUGCACAUCUUGACGGUACCUAAUCAGAAAGCCACGGCUAACAACGUG